AAUAAUAAUAAUAAUAAUAAAAAGAAUUUAAUCCAAAUGUGACAUGAGAGUGGGGGAGAUGUCAGUUUCAAGGCGGCAACUACCCAAUUGUCACUCUUAUCAAUUUCAACACUCAAAUUGCUAUGGGCUGAUAUCAGCUGAAAUGGACAUGCUUUCAGCUUUAUCUUUGGAAAAUACUACUAGUAAUACAAAAAUCCAAUAUUCCAUUGCCAUUUAAUGCAUGAAAUAAAGAGAGAAAUAAAGAAUCUGUAUCAAGAAAAAAGAAAUACUAUUCAAAAUAAGCUUCAUUUAUGGUAUGAAUGGAUUUGCUACAUGAAACUCAAACUCUUGCACAAGAUAUCAAUUCAGAUUAAUUUGUAAGAGGCCAUGGGCCAAAUGACUAGAGAAAGAACAAAUAUUUGCUAAUAUCAAUCAAAAUGACUUCACUGUGCACUUAGUUAUCACUAUCAACCAUUGAAUUGAGUGACCAGUGAAAGCUAAAGAUAAUGUUCUAUCAGCCUCUCUGCAACAGUGCAACUUAAUGCAAAAAUGGUGUUGAUAACUUGCUAAAUAAAACAAGAACUUUCAAAUACAGUAAAAACUGGGCAAAACUUUCUUAUUAUGUUUCCAUUUUCGAAAGUGAUAUAUACCAUCGGAUAUAACUCUGUCAUCCAUGCUCAAAACAGUACUAACAGUACUAGAAAGUUAAGCAUAUCAGCAAAUUUUGAUAUUCAGUAGCUACGCGAAGCUAUAAACAGAAAGCUGAUAAGAACUUUGUUAAGAUUUAUGACUCAAAAUUCUUGUUGAUUUGGAAGACUUUUUCCUAAUUUGAGUGGCAGAAAUAUUCCUCAAUAUGAUGGAGGUACACUUCCUUAGUGUUAUUCCUAAAUUAAGUGAGAUUCCUAAUUAGAUUAGGAUUGAAGUGACUAAUAUUAUAAAUAGGAGUAUUGGAAGGUUAUUUGGCUUUGCCCAUGGAGA
rnacentral:misc_RNA from 1 species